rnacentral:lncRNA from 1 species
GGAGAGGGACAGGAGAGCUCCCUACAGUGGGCAGAUGACUCUUUGGAGUGAUCUGAGUGCCUGGGCCCAGGGGCAGCCUUUAUCCACCCCCUGACUUACUACAUUCCUGGGUUGCUGGGGAGAGGCCCAGGGCUGUUCUCUCACCCCUGCUUCACUGCUGAGGAGCACGGGCCUGGCUGGCUCCAAGCUAUGAACUUGCACAGCAUCUCCCACUCCACACAUGAGGUGACUUCCACGAUCCUGUGAGUUCCCUUUUUAAAAAUAACAGUUGUUUAUACCUUCCACAUUUUAAAUAGUAGCGUGUGUUUUCUAAAAGUAUCGAAGGGAAAUGAAAUACUCUAACCAUAUAUUUUGAACUCGCCCCCUGUCUCAGUACUCCUUUGAGAUGGCUUACCCCAUGGCCAAAGUCUAGGGAAGAAAGGAAGCCUGGAAGAGGUCCCACCUGCC